GGUGGAGCUACUCUUGGACGAAUUUUCAACGUUCUUGGGGAGCCUGUUGACAAUUUGGGUCCUAUAGAUAGUAGUGCAACGUUCCCUAUUCAUAGAUCUGCGCCUGCCUUUAUCGAGUUAGAUACGAAAUUAUCCAUCUUUGAAACAGGUAUUAAGGUCGUCGAUCUUUUAUCUCCUUAUCGACGUGGAGGAAAAAUAGGACUAUUUGGGGGGGCUGGAGUAGGUAAAAGAGUACUGAUCAUGGAAUUAAUCAAUAACAUUGCUAAAGCUCAUGGGGGCGUAUCCGUAUUCGGUGGAGUAGGGGAACAGACUCGUGAAGGAAAUGAUCUUUAUAUGGGUAUACAAAUUGCCAACGUUUUCCUAAUUUUUUAG
rnacentral:rRNA from 1 species